AGAGUUUGAUCCUGGCUCAGGACGAACGCUGGCGGCGUGGAUUAGGCAUGCAAGUCGAACGGUAGAGAGAUUUCGGUCUCUUGAGAGUGGCGAACGGGUGAGUAACACGUAGGUUAUCUACCCUCAAAUUGGGGACAACCCAGGGAAACUUGGGCUAAUACCGAAUGAGUGCAUCAGUGAUGGUGCAUAAAAGAUGGCGUAAGCUGUUGUUUGAGGAUGAGCCUGCGCUCUAUUAGUUAGUUGGUGAGGUAACGGCUCACCAAGGCGAUGAUAGAUAGGCGGCCUUAACGGGUGGUCGCCCACACUGGGAUUGAGAUACGGCCCAGACUCCUACGGGAGGCAGCAGUCGAGAAUAGUCUACAAUGGACGAAAGUCUGAUAGUGCGACGCCGCGUGAACGAAGAAUCCCUUCGGGGUGUAAAGUUCUUUUAUAUGUGAGCAAUGCUUCCUAGGUGAAUAGUUUAGGGAGAGAGAUAUUAGCAUAUGAAUAAGCAACGGCUAACUCCGUGCCAGCAGCCGCGGUAACACGGGGGUUGCUAGCGUUGUCCGGAAUUACUAGGCGUAAAGGGCAGGUAGGCGGAUAGAUAAGUUUGAUGUUAAAGGCGACGGCUUACCCGUCGUAAGGCAUUAGAUACUGUUUAUCUGGAAUGCGGUUGGGGAAGACAGAAUUCCUGGUGUAGCGGUGGAAUGCGCAGAGAUCAGGAGGAAUACCAAAGGCGAAGGCAGUCUUCUAAGCCGUUAUUGACGCUAAACUGCGAAGGUGUGGGUAUCAAACAGGAUUAGAUACCCUGGUAGUCCACACAGUAAACGAUAAUCACUAGGUGUCGGGUUCGAAGAGGAUUCGGUGCCGUAGCUAACGCGAUAAGUGAUUCGCCUGGGGAGUACGAUCGCAAGGUUGAAACUCAAAGGAAUUGACGGGGGCCCGCACAA
rnacentral:rRNA from 1 species